UAAGGAAUAUUGGUCAAUGGAGGCAACUCUGAACCAGCCAUGCCGCGUGCAGGAUGAAGGCCCUCUGGGUCGUAAACUGCUUUUAUCAGGGAAGAAAUCACUUGUUUCUACGAGUGUUGACGGUACCUGAGGAAUAAGCACCGGCUAACUCCGUGCCAGCAGCCGCGGUAAUACGGAGGGUGCAAGCGUUAUCCGGAUUUACUGGGUUUAAAGGGUGCGUAGGCGGGCCUUUAAGUCAGUGGUGAAAGCUCCGGGCUUAACCCGGAAACUGCCAUUGAUACUAUAGGUCUUGAAUUCGGUCGAGGUUGGCGGAAUGUGUCGUGUAGCGGUGAAAUGCUUAGAUAUGACACAGAACACCGAUUGCGAAGGCAGCUAGCUAGACCGACAUUGACGCUGAGGCACGAAAGCGUGGGGAUCAAACAGG
rnacentral:rRNA from 1 species